AACUAUCCCUCGUAUCUCAUUCUUGAUGCGACAAAAAUGAUGUUAUAUAAAGAACUGGAAAGAAGAAAGAUCAAUUUUAUCAUCUUGAACUAGAAACAGCUUCAACAAUUGGGGUCUGAUGGAGACAAAAAUGCUGAAGUUUAGUAUGUUCCUUCUCUUUCUAGUCUUAGCCGCAGAUGUGGCGGUGAAGAGAACAGAGGGAAGAGAAUGUUGGUCAAAAAGCAAGACCUUCCAUGGUUUAUGCUUCAGCGACCGUAACUGUGAAACCGUGUGCCUUACCGAAGGUUUUACCGGCGGUAAAUGUAAAGGCGUCCUUCACCAAUGCUUCUGCAGUGAAAUAUGUUGAAAUUAAUUCACUCCUUCAACCUUUUCUAUUAAUAAAAUCUUAUCUCUGUUCACAACUGUAGUUAUUUUUAGCUGCGGUUGUAAAAAUUAUUAAUUGAUUAGAAAUUAUAAUUA